rnacentral:rRNA from 1 species
GACGAACGCUGGCGGCGUGCUUAACACAUGCAAGUCGAACGGAAAGGCCCUGCUUUUGUGGGGUGCUCGAGUGGCGAACGGGUGAGUAACACGUGAGUAACCUGCCCUUGACUUUGGGAUAACUUCAGGAAACUGGGGCUAAUACCGGAUAGGAGCUCCUGCUGCAUGGUGGGGGUUGGAAAGUUUCGGCGGUUGGGGAUGGACUCGCGGCUUAUCAGCUUGUUGGUGGGGUAGUGGCUUACCAAGGCUUUGACGGGUAGCCGGCCUGAGAGGGUGACCGGCCACAUUGGGACUGAGAUACGGCCCAGACUCCUACGGGAGGCAGCAGUGGGGAAUAUUGCACAAUGGGCGGAAGCCUGAUGCAGCAACGCCGCGUGCGGGAUGACGGCCUUCGGGUUGUAAACCGCUUUCGCCUGUGACGAAGCAUGAGUGACGGUAAUGGGUAAAGAAGCACCGGCUAAUUACGUG